CCUACGGGAGGCAGCAGUGGGGAAUAUUGGACAAUGGGGGGAACCCUGAUCCAGCGACGCUGCGUGAGUGAAGAAGUCUUUCGGUAUGUAAAGCUCUAUCAGCAGGGAAGAAAGACAUGACGGUCCCUGACUACUACGCCCCGGCUAACUACGUGCCCGCAGCCGCUGUAAUACGUAGGGGGCAAGCGUUAUCCGGAUUUACUGGGUGUAAAGGGAGCGUAGACGGUUACGCAAGUCUGGCGUGAAAGGCGGGGGCCCAACCCCCGGACUGCUUUGGAAACUGUAGAACUGGAGUGCAGGAGAGGUAAGUGGAAUUCCUAGUGUAGCGGUGAAAUGCGUAGAUAUUAGGAGGAACACCAGUGGCGAAGGCGGCUUACUGGACUGUAACUGACGUUGAGGCUCGAAAGCGUGGGGAGCAAACAGGAUUAGAUACCCUUGUAGUC
rnacentral:rRNA from 1 species